rnacentral:rRNA from 1 species
UACGGGGGGAGCAAGCGUUGUUCGGAUUUACUGGGCGUAAAGGGCGCGUAGGCGGUCAGCACAAGUCAGUUGUGAAAUCUCCGGGCUUAACUCGGAAAGGUCAACUGAUACUGUGCGACUAGAGUGCAGAAGGGGCAACUGGAAUUCCUGGUGUAGCAGUGAAAUGCGUAGAUAUCAGGAGGAAUACCGAUGGCGAAGGCAGGUCUCUGGGCUGACACUGACGCUCAUGCACGAAAGCGUGGGGAGCAAACAG